rnacentral:tRNA from 1 species
CCGUAGCUCAGCAGGAUAGAGCACCAGUUUCCUAAACUGGGUGUCGCAGGUUCGAAUCCUGCCGGG